UACACUGUUCAACUAACAGUGAUUUGGCUCCAAGUGAUUUGACUCUUUUGUCCUCGCUUCAGAUUUUUUUUCCGGCUCUACCUUAUCUGGAUAUAUCCUAUCUUCGCGUCGUUUCUUUCUUCUACAAUCUUCUGACCAUCUUUAUCAAUUGUUGAGAGACAGAGAUCGGUUGUGUGUGUUUGCUUCGCACGAGGAGGUAGAGAGAUAGAUCGGAGGGUAAGUUUGAAUCCUCAAUCCGGGUUGAGAGAUAAAGAGAGUUAGAGAGAUCGGUUGUAUUUGUUUGCUUCGGACGAGGAGGUAGAGAGAUAGAUCGGAGGAAAAGUUUGAAUCUUCAAUCCGACCACAAUAAAGUUCCUUGGUUUGCUGAGUUCUCCUUUGGUUUGAUCAAAGGCUGUGGUUUUGGUGGAUUUCGACAGAGUGAGGAUUGCAGGCUUUGUUUGUGCUACAGUUUCAACUCUGGGCAAUUGAUUGCAAUACCUUCAAGUCUCUCUCAACUCUCUGUCAAGUGUCAACUCGCAGCAGCAACAACAGUUUCUUCACUCUCUUCAACUCUUCCUCAAGCUGUGAUUAUGUGAAGCUCGGUGAGACGGUGACUCAAGCUCGGAGAAAUUUUGGGAUCGAUUUCUGGGUUCGAAUUUCUUGAAUCUCUUUCUCUUGUUAAGUUGUUGGGUUCGAUUCACUUUCUCAUUCUUGUUUUGGAAUUUGGGCUGUGGUGUUUCUGGGUUCGAUUAAGUUGUUUAAUACACAAGUACUUUUAAGCUUUGGGUUCGAUUAAAUUGUUUCUGGGUUCGAUUAAGUUGUUUCUGGGUUCGAAAGAGAAACUGAUCUUGAUUUCAUAUGUUUCUUGUGGUGUUUCUGGGUUCGAUUCAGUUUCUCAAGAUUUCUCAUUCUUGUUUUGAAACUAAUCUUGAAAUAAUGAUAUUUGGGCUAUAUUUUGGAUGGGAAUUAAAUUACAUCGAUUUUGGUCUAAUUUUUUGC